UACAGAGGGUGCAAGCGUUGCUCGGAAUUAUUGGGCGUAAAGGGUAGGUAGGUGGUCUCAUUUGUCUGGGGUGAAAUCCUUGGGCUUAACUCAAGAAGUGCCCCAGAAACGGUGAGACUGGAGUCCUGGAGAGGGUCGUGGAAUUCCCGGUGUAGCGGUGAAAUGCGUAGAGAUCGGGAGGAACGCCAAUGGCGAAGGCAGGUCUCUGGGCCACUACUGACGCUGAGAAGCGAAAGCAUGGGGAGCGAACAGG
rnacentral:rRNA from 1 species